rnacentral:rRNA from 1 species
UGGGGAAUAUUGCACAAUGGGGGAAACCCUGAUGCAGCGACGCCGCGUGAACGAAGAAGGUAUUCGUAUCGUAAAGUUCUGUCCUAUGGGAAGAUAAUGACAGUACCAUAGAAGAAAGCUCCGGCUAAAUACGUGCCAGCAGCCGCGGUAAUACGUAUGGAGCGAGCGUUGUCCGGUAUUAUUGGGCGUAAAGGGUACGCAGGCGGUUUAAUAAGUCGAAUGUUAAAGAUCGGGGCUCAACCCCGUAAAGCAUUGGAAACUGAUAAACUUGAGUAGUGGGGAGGAAAGUGGAGUUCCUAGGGUAGUAGUAAAAUACGUAAAUAUUAGGAGGAAUACCGGUGGCGAAGGCGACUUUCUGGCCAUAUACUGACGAUGAGGUACGAAAGCGUGGGUAGCAAACAGG